UGGGGAAUAUUGCACAAUGGACGAAAGUUUGAUGCAGCGACGCCGCGUGGAGGGUGUAGGCCUUCGGGUUGUGAACUCCUUUUUCUCGCGAAAAAGGCACAGUUUUGGCUGUGUUGAUGGUAGUGGGGGAAGAAGCGCCGGCUAACUACGUGCCAGCAGCCGCGGUAAUACGUAGGGCGCGAGCGUUGUCCGGAAUUAUUGGGCGUAAAGGGCUUGUAGGCGGUUGGCCGCGUCUGCCGUGAAAUCCUCUGGCUUAACUGGGGGCGUGCGGUGGGUACGGGUUGACUUGAGUGCGGUAGGGGAGACUGGAAUUCCUGGUGUAGCGGUGGAAUGCGCAGAUAUCAGGAGGAACACCGGUGGCGAAGGCGGGUCUCUGGGCCGUUACUGACGCUGAGGAGCGAAAGCGUGGGGAGCGAACAGG
rnacentral:rRNA from 1 species